rnacentral:rRNA from 1 species
GAUGAACGCUGGCGGCGUGCCUAAUACAUGCAAGUCGAGCGAACAGACGAGGAGCUUGCUCCUCUGACGUUAGCGGCGGACGGGUGAGUAACACGUGGAUAACCUACCUAUAAGACUGGGAUAACUUCGGGAAACCGGAGCUAAUACCGGAUAAUAUAUUGAACCGCAUGGUUCAAUAGUGAAAGACGGCUUUGCUGUCACUUAUAGAUGGAUCCGCGCCGCAUUAGCUAGUUGGUAAGGUAACGGCUUACCAAGGCAACGAUGCGUAGCCGACCUGAGAGGGUGAUCGGCCACACUGGAACUGAGACACGGUCCAGACUCCUACGGGAGGCAGCAGUAGGGAAUCUUCCGCAAUGGGCGAAAGCCUGACGGAGCAACGCCGCGUGAGUGAUGAAGGUCUUCGGAUCGUAAAACUCUGUUAUUAGGGAAGAACAAAUGUGUAAGUAACUGUGCACGUCUUGACGGUACCUAAUCAGAAAGCCACGGCUAACUACGUG